UUGCACGCUGGCGGCAGGCCUAACACCUGCAAGUCGAGCGGAUGAAGGGAGCUUGCUCCUGGAUUCAGCGGCGGACGGGUGAGUAAUGUCUAGGAAUCUGCCUGGUAGUGGGGGAUAACGUCCGGAAACGGGCGCUAAUACCGCAUACGUCCUGAGGGAGAAAGUGGGGGAUCUUCGGACCUCACGCUAUCAGAUGAGCCUAGGUCGGAUUAGCUAGUUGGUGGGGUAAAGGCCUACCAAGGCGACGAUCCGUAACUGGUCUGAGAGGAUGAUCAGUCACACUGGAACUGAGACACGGUCCAGACUCCUACGGGAGGCAGCAGUGGGGAAUAUUGGACAAUGGGCGAAAGCCUGAUCCAGCCAUGCCGCGUGUGUGAAGAAGGUCUUCGGAUUGUAAAGCACUUUAAGUUGGGAGGAAGGGCAGUAAGUUAAUACCUUGCUGUUUUGACGUUACCAACAGAAUAAGCACCGGCUAACUUCGUG
rnacentral:rRNA from 1 species